rnacentral:rRNA from 1 species
AUGUGGACUUUGAUCAAACUUUUGAAUGAGUGGGAAAUUCAGCUACUCGUCCUUCUCAGCUUCACACUACAAUUGUUCCUCUUGUUUGCUGGGAACCUUCGGCGACGCAGGUCCAAUGGGUUCCUAAGGGUCCUCAUUUGGUUAGCUUUCUUGGGGGCAGACUUGGUAGCAGUUUAUGCCCUUGGCCUUCUCUCACGACAAGAGAACAACAUCACCACCAUCAUUGACAAAGGAAGCCAACCACUAGCUUUCUUUUGGGCACCAUUUCUCCUCAUCCAUCUUGGUGGACAGGACACCAUUGCUGCUUUCUCCAUGGAGGACAACAACUUGUGGCUGAGGCAUUUGCUGAAUCUGGUGGUGCAAGUUGUCCUAGCAUUCUAUGUUUUCUGGAGAUCCAUCAGAAGCUUACACAGCUUGGGGUUUCUCACUUCAGGUGUCCUUGUGUUUGUUGCUGGAAUUAUCAAGUAUGGAGAAAGAACAUGGUGUCUUAAGCGUGGGAGUCUUAAAGGCCUUGAGAGCUCAACACGGGUCCUAACAUCAUGGAGUUUUCUGCAUCUGGAUACUGCUAUUCAGGGCUAUUCUAGGGCUGUUUAUGAUGCUCUCAGGUCAGUGUCAUAUGCUCUCCACAUCUUUUCAGCACGUGGUUACUGUACGACAAACUUCUACCCGCAUAGAGACAUCAACCAAACGGUGAAGAUAGGGCGGCUUCAGCUUGGCCUAGUGUACGACGAGCUCUACACAAAGGCUGUUGUACUCAGAACAAAGAGCGCCAUGAUAUUCAGAUGCAUCUCUCAGUUAUCCAUUGUUGUUGCUUUUGGGCUCUUCCACGCAAUUGUAGACAAAUAGAGGUAUGCCAAAGUUGACAUUGCAAUCACCUAUUCACUAUUUAUUGGAGGCUUUUUCAUAGAAGUCUGGUCAAUAAUACUUAAUUUCACGACAUCACCACGGACGUGGAUGAUGUUGAAGCGCCGGAAGUGGGAGAGGCUUGCAAAGUUGUCCUGGUUUAUUUUUUCCAAUGAUGUCAUUGGCUUGUCGGAGAAGAAGCAACGGUGGCCAAGUUCAAUCGGACAGUACGACCUUGUAGGUUGGAUGAAUGGUACC